GCGUGAGUGAUGAAGGCCUUCGGGUUGUAAAGCUCUUUCGGUCGGGACGAUAAUGACGGUACCGAUAGAAGAAGCCCCGGCUAACUUCGUGCCAGCAGCCGCGGUAAUACGAAGGGGGCUAGCGUUGUUCGGAAUUACUGGGCGUAAAGUGCGCGUAAGCGGUUGGGUAAGUCAGGGGUGAAAUCCCUGGGCUCAACCCUGGAACUGCCUUUGAUACUGGACCUCUUGAGUCCGGGAGAGGUGAGUGGAAUUGCGAGUGUAGAGGUGAAAUUCAUAGAUAUUCGGAAGAACACCAGUGGCGAAGGCGGCUCACUGGCCCGGUACUGACGCUGAGGCGCGAAAGCGUGGGGAGCAAACAGGAUUAGAUACCCUGGUAGUCCACGCCGUAAACGAUGGAUGCUAGCCGUUGG
rnacentral:rRNA from 2 species